GACGAACGCUGGCGGCGUGCUUAACACAUGCAAGUCGAACGGAAAGGCCCUGCUUUUGUGGGGUGCUCGAGUGGCGAACGGGUGAGUAACACGUGAGUAACCUGCCCUUGACUUUGGGAUAACUUCAGGAAACUGGGGCUAAUACCGGAUAGGAGCUCCUGCUGCAUGGUGGGGGUUGGAAAGUUUCGGCGGUUGGGGAUGGACUCGCGGCUUAUCAGCUUGUUGGUGGGGUAGUGGCUUACCAAGGCUUUGACGGGUAGCCGGCCUGAGAGGGUGACCGGCCACAUUGGGACUGAGAUACGGCCCAGACUCCUACGGGAGGCAGAAGUGGGGAAUAUUGCACAAUGGGCGGAAGCCUGAUGCAGCAACGCCGCGUGCGGGAUGACGGCCUUCAGGUUGUAAACCGCUUUCGCCUGUGACGAAGCGUGAGUGACGGUAAUGGGUAAAGAAGCACCGGCUAACUACGUG
rnacentral:rRNA from 1 species